rnacentral:rRNA from 1 species
GACGAACGCUGGCGGCGUGCCUAAUACAUGCAAGUCGAACGCACAGUUUAUACCGUAGCUUGCUACACCAUACACUGUGAGUUGCGAACGGGUGAGUAACGCGUAGGUAACCUGCCUGGUAGCGGGGGAUAACUAUUGGAAACGAUAGCUAAUACCGCAUAAUAUUAAUUAUUGCAUGAUAAUUGAUUGAAAGAUGCAAUUGCAUCACUACCAGAUGGACCUGCGUUGUAUUAGCUAGUAGGUGAGGUAACGGCUCACCUAGGCGACGAUACAUAGCCGACCUGGGAGGGUGAUCGGCCACACUGGGACUGAGACACGGCCCAGACUCCUGCGGGAGGCAGCAGUAGGGAAUCUUCGGCAAUAGACGAAAGUCUGACCGAGCAACGCCGCGUGAGUGAAGAAGGUUUUCGGAUCGUAAAGCUCGGUUGUAAGAGAAGAACGGGUGUGAGAGUGGAAAGUUCACACUGUGACGGUAGCUUACCAGAAAGGGACGGCUAACUACGUG